ACUUCACUAUCAAAAACGGUUUCCGACACCUCCAUGAGCCUCGUGUCUGUGCCAACCGACUCCAGCUCCGGGCUCCCUGCCUCUCCACCCGGCACUCCCACCCUCUCCACAGCCUGAGCCCCACCCAGUCCUGGGCCACUGAGCCACCCUCCUGCCAUGCAGGGCAGACACAACCCCACACGGUGCUCGUCAGGGGAAGGCAGGAGGGCGGCCGGAGGGACCAGCCACAGUUCCGAGAAGGGGCUGACCGUGGCCUGUGAUGGACGGGGCACCCAGUGGGCCAGAAUCAGACGGAGAACAGCUAUAAGCUGCCACGCCGACUGCUGUGGGAGCUCCUGGGCCUGGAGGAGCCUCCCUGGGACACGGUGCCUGCAGGGCCCUCUGUCCUUGGACCUCCUCCUUCAAGGAUCCACUUCGCACAUGUGCCCUUCUGCAAACUUCCGUGACACCGAUGCAAAUUUGCUCUUUCUGUAUUUCAUGUAAAAAAUUUCCACUCACAAGCAGGAGACUCCACGAGGCCUUGGGGUCACAGGAAGGCUCGGAGUGCCAGAGUACAGAGUCCAAUUUGAGCAUUGUUCAGGUUCAACUGACCACAGGGAGCUGCCUGCAUUUAAAGUGAGCAACGUGACGGGACUGGACGCUGCACGCCAGCAAGUCAUCGCCACAGCGAAGGUCAUUGCAGAUAACGCUGCUGUAAACAUGUGUAUGAGUUUCUGCGGGACGCGUGUCUCCUUAUCUCUUUGGUAGAUGGAGUGGAAUGACUGCGGCAUACAACAGGCCUGCUUUAACUUCUUAAGAAACUGCCAAACUGUCUUCCAAAGUGGCUCCAGCAUUCACCAUUCCCACCAGCCGAGUAUGAGGGUUCCGGUUCCACACCCUCCCAACACGCGCUCUGGUCGACUGUGUGAGUUUCACCCAUUCUAACAGGUGGUGGCUGUCUUCCUGCUGAGGGCUCUGCAGAUCUCGGAGUGGCCGUUCCUUGCAGCUCUCUCCUUCCAGGUGUCCCGCCCUGCACGUUGUAGUUGUCAGUUUCCCAGAC
rnacentral:lncRNA from 10 species